rnacentral:snoRNA from 1 species
AGUGGCAAAUGAUGGAAAUAUUCUUAUCCUACACACCGAACAUUGAUGUGGAUUAAUUCUUCGCUUAUUAUCUGAUGCCAUU